rnacentral:rRNA from 1 species
AGAGUUUGAUCCUGGCUCANAACGAACGCUGGCGGCAGGCCUAACACAUGCAAGUCGAGCGCGCCCUUCGGGGUGAGCGGCGGACGGGUUAGUAACGCGUGGGAACGUGCCCAGAUCUAAGGAAUAGCCACUGGAAACGGUGAGUAAUACCUUAUACGCCCUUCGGGGGAAAGAUUUAUCGGAUUUGGAUCGGCCCGCGUUAGAUUAGAUAGUUGGUGGGGUAAUGGCCUACCAAGUCUACGAUCUAUAGCUGGUUUUAGAGGAUGAUCAGCAACACUGGGACUGAGACACGGCCCAGACUCCUACGGGAGGCAGCAGUGGGGAAUCUUGGACAAUGGGCGCAAGCCUGAUCCAGCCAUGCCGCGUGAGUGAUGAAGGCCUUAGGGUCGUAAAGCUCUUUCGCCUGUGAUGAUAAUGACAGUAGCAGGUAAAGAAACCCCGGCUAACUCCGUGCCAGCAGCCGCGGUAAUACGGAGGGGGUUAGCGUUGUUCGGAAUUACUGGGCGUAAAGCGCGCGUAGGCGGACUAUUAAGUUAGAGGUGAAAUCCCGGGGCUCAACCCCGGAACUGCCUUUAAUACUGGU